AACAGCAUCAUAGCAGUCACGAAUCCCCACCACUACUCUCUCCUCUCCUGAUGGAGACGACGCCCCUCUUCUCUCUGUGUGGUCUUUGUUCCCGUCGAGGCCUCACUUGGAGAAGCUGCUCCAAUCGGCUGGAUGUGGAGAGGGAACUGAAGUACGCGAGCGCCUCGACCUCGAGGUCGACAGCCCGCGACAACAUGUGUUGGGAUUCGUCCUUGAUCCGCCAUCACGACCUGGACGGCGUUGGAAGCCCCGGCCGAUGAGCUACAGCGUGGCUGGCGCCACCCACACUGCUUGGCCUCCGCCUCCACAUCGCCAUCGAACAUCAUCUCCUGUUCCUCCCCACCUCCAUCCCGCGUGGACGCGGACGCUGUUCACCACAUCACCAUCCUCUCCGGUCGGAGAUGCGGCUGGACUAUGAUCCUUCGGUGGUGGACGACUGCAGUUGUGAUUGCCUUCUUUACUUCCUCUUCUUAUGUAUCAGUUGCGAUGUUCUUCCCUUUUUGUCUUGUAAGCAGAGUUGUUGGCUUGUUGCUGCAUGUUUCUGAAGGAGAUCCUUUUCCUUCUGUUGUUGUUGUGCGUCCACCCAUGUUGUGGAUCAUUCCAGGCGAUUCCUUUUGAACUAGAUCCAGGGGGAGACCCCCUACCAUUUUUCAUUUCAUAAAAACAAUAGCGUGCCUCGCUCGGGUGAGCAACAACACUUUAGAACGCAGCUUCGGUGCCUUAAGGACAUGCAUCUACCACUGUUUACUGAUCUGCACAGCCGAAAGGACAUGCAUCGUUGUCCAGGAUUUGUUGUUGCAGCAGAACAGAAUGAACUUGGAGACAGCUGACCCUUUGCUGCAGUGGUGCACAGCAGUACUACCCCGGAAAGGAUUCGAGGAUGCCACAUAGUACAAAAGUAAUGAAUUAAGAGCUGAAUCUGACGAGGAAGAUUCAAUAUCAGAAGAAAAGUAGUGUGAAGCGGAAGACAAGACUGAAAAAUAAAGCAGGCUUUGACUGAUGCAAGCCAAAUUCAACCAUGACCUGUUUUACUCAAUUCCUUCUGCUGGCAGAAAGCCCAGGAUGGGAGUUCUAUUGAGUUUCUUUUUCUUGA